GAAGAAAUAACAUCUAUCAAAUCAGCCCUGCCUCAAAGUUCAGCUCACCCACCAGGAAUAAAACAUUUUCUACUGAAAAUGAAGAUAGUUUCUGAGUGUCCAGAUCAAAGACAGAAACAUAAUCUGUUGCAAAAUUUCUGCUCUUCUUGAGUUGCUGAAAGUAGUUCUUCCUGGUGCUAAAAGACUGCAGCUCCUUGAGAGAAGAGAAUAUGUCAGUUUUGUUCUCUGCUGUAACCUCAAUGCUGAGAGCAGGGUACAGACUCCCAGCCAGGCUGUCCUGACCUCCUGGGGACAAUGGCCAAGGAAGAGAAGCUCCAUGAUGAAGCCAAGGAAAGAGGGGCUGGGCCCCUUCUGUCUCAAGUGACACUGGUCAGGAGCAGAUUCAGCUUCCACAUUUUUAUAACAAGGCUAUAAUACCUGUCUGAUGCAGCUAUUACAAAAUCUGAAGGAUAUAGCAACAAGGUACCAUCUUAGAAGCAGAUGCCAGACACAGCCCUCAGCAGGCACCAGAUCUACUGGCACCUUGAUUUUGAACUUCCCAGCCUCCAGAACUGAGCAAAUAAAUUUCUAUUAUUUGUAAAUCA